UAGGAAUUGAAAUAACUUGGAAUAACUGCAAACUCGAGUACUCUUAGAACAGUACUUUUUGUCUUUAGUUUUUGUGUUUAUUGGAGAUCUAAUGAACUUACUCUAUUUCAUCUGACCUGUAUAGUUCGUUGUUGUUGAGUGUUUUAGCACCACUGUCCCUUGCUAAUCUCUCAUAACCAUAUGAAUCCCCGGCACAUUCUUUGUUUGUCUUCUCAAAAUCAGAAACUCGUCUAGCAGUAUUUUCGUUGGUUGCAAUAUAUUUUUGUCAUUAGUGUAGUAUAAAUCAGACCGUUUGUUUCUCUCUUGAAAUGUUUUACAUUGUGCCAUACUGGUGUUGUCAUAAAAGUGUCUUUUUCAGAGGCAGAACAAAUGACGAGAGAAUAAUGGAAUAGUCAAGUUCAUAUGAAAAAGUCGACACAAUCAAUAGUAAAUCAAAGCCGAUGAGGAUUAUGAUUAUUUUUAAACAACACUUGUAUACAUUACAAAAAUGUGUUAAAUUGUGUCAUUAGAAAUAUACAUGUAAACACACGAUUUGUAUGUUCAUUAUCAAACAAGAUGAUUGCACAAGAAGCUUGUGAAAAUGAAAUUCAAAAAUGUUGACCUUUGCUACAAAUUGUUAACAAAGUUUGAAAACUAUAUACGUACAAAGGCUUAAGAACUUUCACGUCAUAAUUUGUUGAGAAUACCACAUAGUCCUAAGCAUGUUACAAUCUAUUUCAUCUAUUUUUCACAUCAACGUUUACGAGUACACCAUCC
rnacentral:lncRNA from 1 species